AGCAGCCGCGGUAAUUCCAGCUCCAAUAGCGUAUAUUAAAGUUGUUGCAGUUAAAAAGCUCGUAGUUGAAUUUUUGAUUCUUCCAAUUGGUCCAUCUUUUAGAUGAGUACUGGUUGUGUGGGGUCUAUCCGCCUGGUGAUACGUAAUGUCCUUUAUUGGGUGUUGCGGGUAGUCAGGACGUUUACCUUGAAAAAUUAGAGUGUUUAAAGCAGGCUUAUGCCGGAAUACAUUAGCAUGGAAUAAUAGAAUAGGACGAAGUUGUUUUAUUUUGUUGGUUUCUAGGACAACCGUAAUGAUUAAUAGGGAUAGUUGGGGGCAUUAGUAUUCAAUUGUCAGAGGUGAAAUUCUUGGAUUUAUUGAAGACUAACUAUUGCGAAAGCAUUUGCCAAGGAUGUUUUCAUUAAUCAAGAACGAAAGUUAGGGGAUCGAAGACGAUCAGA
rnacentral:rRNA from 1 species